rnacentral:lncRNA from 1 species
AACACAGAUCUGUGAGGGAGUGGACAGCAAAAUUCCCCAGGUUCCUUAAGAAAACAAUGAAGCCCUGCAGGGUGACUGGAGCGCCCCUCUGGUCAGCCCUUGACCUGCAGCCCCCUCCUUCCGCCCUCCCCUGCUCCCUCCCAGCUCCUUUUAUGAUCAAGUGCUCGUGGGCUGGAGAGGCCCCUGUAGCCUGGAGUGUUCAGGGGGGAUCCGAGAGACAGGGGGUGGCUCUGCUCAUCGGUUCAUCCCACAGAGAGUGGCAGACAGAGGCCCCCCCACCAUGGGUCCUCCCUGCCCAGGGGCACACGGGAGGGUGGGAUGCUGCCAAGGACCGCUGGGCUGGGCCUUGCUGCGUGGGUGAGGCCUAUAAAGGGCUCUCCUUUCAGCAGCCUCCUCUGAGGGCCCCCCCCAUCCCCCAUCUUGCUUCCUCCAGCUUCUAAGUGCUAGGAACACAAGAGAGAAGCAGGGUGGCCUGUCAAAGCAGAAUUUGGGCGCCAACCACUUGAAUGGAAGUGAACAGGUCUGGAGCGGGUGGGGUUGAGUCUCUUUUCCUUUUCUGUCAGGUUAGGGUAAUUCCCCACCCUCAUUCCUGGCCCAAGGCCAUCGGCUCAGGAGAAAUCCUGCCCCCGGGGUACUUCACCUCCCGCCACCAUUAACCACCACCGUGGCCCAUUCCAGAAAAAUCUCCAGGAAAGCAGCAACUGUAUCCGCCUGCCCACCGGUGUCUCCUUCAGGCUCUGGCAUGCGUUGGGGGCGCAAUAAACACCCCUCUUCCUUCCUUUCUUCCUUCAAACAGCCGCUGUGAAUCAGUCCACGGUGUGGCAGGUGGGCUCGAGGCUGAGGCUUAGGCCGUGUACUUUCUUCACUUUACAGAUGAGGAAAGGGAGAUUCAGAGACCUUAAUCGACUUGCCCAAGGUCACGCAGCAGGGAACAGAGCAGACAUUUGGACCUACUUCUUCUACUUGGCUUUUUCCACUUGACUCAAAAUGUGGAGGUGUGUAGGCGAGACAGGAAGGUGGCCUUUUGAGGAGGUGGUCAGAACAGCAGGAGAUGAGCUGGGACAAGUGGGCUGGGGCAGGGUCACGAGGAGCAUCCAAGGUCAAGGGAGGGACCAGGGAGGCUUUGGCUUUCGUCUUGUGGGCCACUGGGACCGGAAGUCUGUUCCUGCUUUGACCCUUGUUCAACCAAGGUAGUCUCAGGGAGAGGGCUUGUCACGGGCACUCCGUUUUCUCAUCUGAAAAGUGGCACAAGUAUAUUGAUAAUUGCUCAUGAUCCCUGUGCAAAGCGUUUGAGCCUUGGAGUGACACACAUCUGGGUUAAAAUCCUAGCACUGCCCCUUCGUGCAUGGUUGGAAGAUGCUGGCAAGUGAUGAAAGUAUUUACUUCGGAGCCUCAGUGUCCGGCUGGGGAAAGUGAGGCCAAUGACACUCUUCUUGCAGGGCCCUGGGAGGCUCAAGAGGGACAGGUAACCUAAAGCGCCCAACAGCGUAAAUGCCUGAUACUGAUAGCUGCUAUUAUUACUGUUGUUGUUGUUGUCGUCGUUACCAUUUAGCUGCACCUUCUGGCGGCGAGGGGGAGAGUCAGACCCAGCAUUAAAUAUGCCAGCUGGGGAGCUCCCAGGUGUUCUGUGCCCCCCAUUCCCUCCCUGCCCCCCAACCCUGGCACGAGCUUGGAGCCCUUUGCUUCUGGCAUCUUGAGUGUCUGGGCCUCUGUAAAGCGGCUGUUGACCCCCUCCUGAGCAGCGUGAGAAGCAAACUGUCCAGGAGACAGGAAACGCAAGGCCCCGCCCUGGCUCUGCCUUGACUUGCUGUGCUAUCUUGUGCAAAUCAUUUCCCUCUCUGGGCCUCAAACAAGCGAGGGGGACUGAACCACUUGAAGACCUGUUCAUUUCUUAUCUGGGUACCUGAAACCUGGAGAUCGAAAUUGCCCCAACCUUGGUGCAUGCAGGGUCCAGUUCAGAAUCAGGCCUGGGAGAGGAUGCCCAUCAGGUCCAAGUGCCCAGUUCAUGAAGCCCCCGAAGAUUUAUUUAUAAGGAGUUCCGUCUCGAUUCGACCCCUAGCCUGGGAACCU